UAAAACAAUAUCAUAAGGAUCACAUUAUUCCUUAUUCAUUUAUUAUAUAAUUUCUCAGUUCAUCAUACUAUGAACUUACUUGCCUGGAUCCCAUCCAAGGAUCUAGCCCAAGUUCAAUUUACCCAAUUUGGAGCCUUUGGGCUCGGUUUAAAACUAGAUGGGGUUCAUAUAGGUCAAUUGGGCUUUUAAUUAAGGAAUUGGGCUUGAGUCAGGGUCAGCCCGAGGCCAAUUUGGUCUCAAAU
rnacentral:lncRNA from 1 species